AUUGAACGCUGGCGGCAGGCCUAACACAUGCAAGUCGAGCGGCAGCAGGGUGCUUGCUCCUGGUUUCAGCGGCGGACGGGCGGGUAAUGCCUAGGAAUAUGCCUGGCUGCGGUGGCUAGGGUCCGGACGUGGGCGCACAUACCGCAAUAGCCCUGACGACGUACGUGGGGGAUCAUCGGACCUUCCGCUAUUGGAUGAGUCAAGGUCGGAUUAGCUAGUUGGUGGGGUAAAGGCCUACCAAGGCGACGAUCCGUAGCUGGUCUGAGAGGAUGAUCAGUCACACUGGAACUGAGACACGGUCCAGACUCCUACGGGAGGCAGCAGUGGGGAAUAUUGGACAAUGGGCGAAAGCCUGAUCCAGCCAUGCCGCGUGUGUGAAGAAGGUCUUCGGAUUGUAAAGCACUUUAAGUGGGGAGGAAGAGCAGUAAGUUAAUACCUUGCUGUUUUGACGGUACCAACAGAAUAAGCACCGGCUAACUUCGUG
rnacentral:rRNA from 1 species